UCUGAUCAGUGCGUGAAGUUUAUACAGAAAUGCGUGCAUCUGUCAGACAGAGGUGAACAUGGCAGAAGUCUCGGAGAGGACACUCCAAGUGGCGGUGGUUGUCUCCUUUGCUGUGGGCUUCGUGGCGGGCUGGCAGGCCAACAGGAUGAGGAGGAGGUUUCUAGACUGGAGGAAAAAGCGACUACAAGACAAACUGUCCGAGACGCAGAAGAAAAUCGACCUGUCCUGAAGGGUAAUGGCCUGUACUGUGUGUUUAUGUAACACAUGGCUACAUGUCGAGGCCAAGAGUAAGACUAUGUGAUUUUCCAUUGGCUGCUGGUGGACUGGACUGGUUCUGCUUGAUACACUGGAAGAAAUCAGCACAUUUCCAGAUCGUGAAGGCUGUGACUCUCUAUAUGGACUUUAACUUUACAUUCACAAAAAUCACUACAUUUGGAGCCCUCAAAUGUGUCUAAUUGUCCAGUAGACCUAAUUUGUAUUUUGUAGCUCUGU